UAUUAAAAAUUUCAUCCAUUUCUACAGUUAAAAACUAGUGUGGUUGAUAGAAUAAUCAAACAGUUACACGUAGUAUGUCACAAGUACCUCAUUCUGACAUAAAAACCAGUUUUUAACCGUAGAAAUGGAUGUAACUUUUAACA
rfam:Gossypium raimondii Chr01_contig_21, whole genome shotgun sequence.